AUUGAACGCUGGCGGCAUGCCUUACACAUGCAAGUCGAGCGGUAACAGGUCUUCGGAUGCUGACGAGUGGCGAACGGGUGAGUAAUACAUCGGAACGUGCCUAAUAGUGGGGGAUAACUACUCGAAAGAGUGGCUAAUACCGCAUGAGAUCCACGGAUGAAAGCAGGGGAUCGCAAGACCUUGUGCUACUAGAGCGGCCGAUGGCAGAUUAGGUAGUUGGUGGGAUAAAAGCUUACCAAGCCGACGAUCUGUAGCUGGUCUGAGAGGACGAUCAGCCACACUGGGACUGAGACACGGCCCAGACUCCUACGGGAGGCAGCAGUGGGGAAUUUUGGACAAUGGGCGAAAGCCUGAUCCAGCAAUGCCGCGUGCAGGAUGAAGGCCUUCGGGUUGUAACCUGCUUUUGUACGGAACGAAAAGCCCCGGGUUAAUACCCUGGGGUCAUGACGGUACCGUAAGAAUAAGCACCGGCUAACUACGUGCCAGCAGCCGCCGCCG
rnacentral:rRNA from 1 species